rnacentral:rRNA from 1 species
GUCAGCCGCCGCGGUAACACCGGCGGCCCGAGUGGUGAUCGUGAUUAUUGGGUCUAAAGGGUCCGUAGCCGGUUUGGUCAGUCCUCCGGGAAAUCUGAUAGCUCAACUAUUAGGCUUUCGGGGGAUACUGCCAGACUUGGAACCGGGAGAGGUAAGAGGUACUACAGGGGUAGGAGUGAAAUCUUGUAAUCCCUGUGGGACCACCUGUGGCGAAGGCGUCUUACCAGAACGGGUUCGACGGUGAGGGACGAAAGCUGGGGGCACGAACCGGAUUAGAUACCCGGGUAGUCCCAGCCGUAAACGAUGCUCGCUAGGUGUCAGGCAUGGCGCGACCGUGUCUGGUGCCGCAGGGAAGCCGUGAAGCGAGCCACCUGGGAAGUACGGCCGCAAGGCUGAAACUUAAAGGAAUUGGCGGGGGAGCACAACAACGGGUGGAAGCCUGCGGUUUAAUUGGACUCAACGCCGGACAACUCACCGGGGGCGACAGCAAUAUGUAGGCCAAGCUGAAGACUUUGCCUGAAUCGCUGAGAAGUGGUGCAUGG